rnacentral:rRNA from 1 species
GAUGAACGCUGGCGGCGUGCUUAACACAUGCAAGUCGAACGAAGCACUUUAUUUGAUUUCCUUCGGGACUGAUUAUUUUGUGACUGAGUGGCGGACGGGUGAGUAACGCGUGGGUAACCUGCCUUGUACAGGGGGAUAACAGUUGGAAACGGCUGCUAAUACCGCAUAAGCGCACAGUAUCGCAUGAUGCAGUGUGAAAAACUCCGGUGGUAUAAGAUGGACCCGCGUUGGAUUAGCUAGUUGGUGAGGUAACGGCCCACCAAGGCGACGAUCCAUAGCCGACCUGAGAGGGUGACCGGCCACAUUGAGACUGAGACACGGCCCAAACUCCUACGGGAGGCAGCAGUGGGGAAUAUUGCACAAUGGGCGAAAGCCUGAUGCAGCGACGCCGCGUGAGCGAAGAAGUAUUUCGGUAUGUAAAGCUCUAUCAGCAGGGAAGUUAAUGACGGUACCUGACUAAGAAGCACCGGCUAAAUACGUGCCAGCAGCCGCGGUAAUACGUAUGGUGCAAGCGUUAUCCGGAUUUACUGGGUGUAAAGGGAGCGCAGGCGGUGCGGCAAGUCUGAUGUGAAAGCCCGGGGCUCAACCCCGGUACUGCAUUGGAAACUGUCGUACUAGAGUGUCGGAGGGGUAAGCGGAAUUCCUAGUGUAGCGGUGAAAUGCGUAGAUAUUAGGAGGAACACCAGUGGCGAAGGCGGCUUACUGGACGAUAACUGACGCUGAGGCUCGAAAGCGUGGGGAGCAAACAGGAUUAGAUACCCUGGUAGUCCACGCCGUAAAAACGAUGAAUACUAGGUGGGGGGAAGCAUUGCUUCUCGGUGCCGUCGCAAACGCAGUAAGUAUUCCACCUGGGGAGUACGUUCGCAAGAAAGAAACUCAAAGGAAAUGACGGGGACCCGCACAAGCGGUGGAGCAUGUGGUUUAAUUCGAAGCAACGCGAAGAACCUUACCAAGUCUUGACAUCCUUCUGACCGGUACUUAACCGUACCUUCUCUUCGGAGCAGGAGUGACAGGUGGUGCAUGGUUGUCGUCAGCUCGUGUCGUGAGAUGUUGGGUUAAGUCCCGCAACGAGCGCAACCCUUAUCUUUAGUAGCCAGCGGUUUGGCCGGGCACUCUAGAGAGACUGCCAGGGAUAACCUGGAGGAAGGCGGGGAGGACGUCAAAUCAUCAUGCCCCCUAUGACUUGGGCUACACACGUGCUACAAUGGCGUAAACAAAGGGAAGCAAAGCUGUGAAGCCGAGCAAAUCUCAAAAAUAACGUCUCAGUUCGGACUGUAGUCUGCAACCCGCCUACACGAAGCUGGAAUCGCUAGUAAUCGCAGAUCAGAAUGCUGCGGUGAAUAAAAUCCCGGGUCUUGCAC